ACAGCAGCAGCGGUAGGCGGGCGCACCGCUCUCCGCGCAGCUAGAUUCGGCGCACCUGUCGCCGUCCGGAAGCCCCGCUACCCCGGCGAGAGCUCAACGGGGAGAAGCCAUUUGACUUGCCGCGCAAUACUAUAUCUAUAUUACGCCCCCGCCAGGGGACAGACCCAGAGGUUGAGAGUUGAGACGCAAAGACAAAGGAGAGCCGUGUCGCCGACGAGGACGGACGGAGCAGCCGGCCGAAAGAUCUUUCUCUUCCCCCUUCCUUCCGGCCAAAGCAGCACCGCAGGCGGCAGGGUUGGACACUCCAUCGUCUUCGCCUCAGGUCAGUCCGAUUGCUUGCUUGCUGUUUUCGUGCUGGUUAUGCGUUUGCGUGUUGCGCCGGCGCGGCGUGCCCGAUCGAUCGGCUUGGCUGUGGCCUGUAGAGUGCAAGAUCUCUUCUCUCGCCGGCGCGGCGUGCCCGAUCGAUCGGCUUGGCUUCCGCCUCCCGCCGCCGGAGCCGGACAAGCAGCGGAUGGGCUGCGUGUUGUCAUCGCCGAGGCGGUCCAGGCGCACGCCGGGGUACGAGGAGCCCACCGUCCUCGCCUCCCAGACCUCCUUCACGGUGAACGAGGUGGAGGCGCUGUACGAGCUCUACAAGAAGCUCAGCUACUCCAUCUUCAAGGACGGCCUCAUCCACAAGGAGGAGUUCCGGCUGGCGCUGUUCAGGACCAGCAAAGGGGCGAACCUCUUCGCGGACAGGGUGUUCGACCUCUUCGAUCUCAAGCGCAACGGGGUCAUCGAGUUCGGCGAGUUCGUGCGCUCGCUCAGCAUCUUCCACCCCAAAGCGCCUGAAUCGGACAAGACCGCGUUUGCAUUCAAGUUGUAUGAUUUGAGGGGGACAGGCUACAUCGAGAAAGAAGAGCUCCGGGAGAUGGUGGUGGCACUCCUCGACGAGUCCGACCUGUGCCUCUCCGACAGCGCCGUCGAGGAGAUCGUCGACAAUACGUUCAGUCAAGCAGACUCGAAUGGCGACGACAGGAUAGACCCCAAGGAGUGGGAGGAGUUCGUCAAGAAGAACCCGGCAUCACUCAGGAACAUGUCACUGCCCUAUCUCCAGGACAUUACGACGGCGUUUCCGAGCUUUGUGAUGCAUUCGGAAGUCGACGAUUACAGUGGAAUCAGCAAAUAAUAGCCGUGCCUGCCUGCCUGCCUGCCUCAUGACCCGUCCCCGGCCAUGUAUGAAUAUGCUCUUGGGACUGGGAGGCCGUGCAUUCAGAAGUGCGUGAGCUGCAACCGGAAGGCCUGGAGCUCGAAUGGGAGGAGAACGCAAGGGAGCCAAUCUGCCGGUGAGCGUGACUGCGUGAGAUGAUGACCACCGGACGAUGACUUCAUCCCAUGCGAGAUAGGCAUCAGAUCAGACUGUCUGAGGUUAACUAAGAAAUGGGCUUUUUUUGUACCUCCGUAGUAAGUACGAGAGGUUAUCAAAACACCGAUCGAGCAGGUGACUAGGCAGUGACGAGUGUCUAGCGUAGGUUGUUGUAGUAAAAUCGCUAAUUGGACUUGUAAAACUUGUCUUCCGUUGACUUGUAAAACAAACGAUGUCAGCAUUGUUUUCGGCAAUAUAUGAUAAUCCCC
rnacentral:rRNA from 1 species